rnacentral:rRNA from 1 species
UUGGAGGGCAAGUCUGGUGCCAGCAGCCGCGGUAAUUCCAGCUCCAAUAGCGUAUAUUAAAGUUGUUGCAGUUAAAAAGCUCGUAGUUGAAUUUCGGGGUUAGUAGGUUGGUCGUGCCUAUGGUAUGCACUGGCUUUACUGAUUCCUCCUUCUUGAAGAACUGUAAUGUCAUUAAUUUGGUGUUGCAGGGAAACAGGACUGUUACUUUGAAAAAAUUAGAGUGUUUAAAGCAGGCUAAGGCUUGAAUACAUUAGCAUGGAAUAAUGAAAUAGGACGUUUGAUCCUAUUUUGUUGGUUUCUAGGAUUGACGUAAUGAUUAAUAGGGAUAGUUGGGGGCAUUAGUAUUCAAUUGUCAGAGGUGAAAUUCUUGGAUUUAUUGAAGACUAACUACUGCGAAAGCAUUUGCCAAGGAUGUUUUCAUUAAUCAAGAACGAAUGUUAGGGGAUCGAAGACGAUCAGAUACCGUCGUAGUCUUAACCAUAAACUAUGCCGACUAGGGAUCGGAUGAUGUUAAUUAUUUAAUGACUCAUCGCGCCUUACGGGAAAC